CAACUGCAGAUUAUAGUGCUGUGCGCCGGAGUUAUGGCCUAUUUUGCUAGAGCUUGUUCAACUCUGGAAAAAACCUGAACCAUCAACGAAAAAGUAAAUACUCUCAUCGAUACUGUGAUCAUCGCUACCUACACUACCCGUUUGAGAUUAUAUGUAGAUUUGUCUUGCGCACUAAGCAAAGCUAUAGGGUUAACUGUUCAUUGCAUGGUUUAUCCUCCUAGUCAUUGUCACAUAGUGACUCUAGGACACACAAGGAAUAUGCAAAGUACUGCACCAAGCAGAUAUUUAGAAUAUCUGGGGCAGUUUUAAUGUUCAACGUCAUGGCUGGGAAUAUACCUCAAAUCAAAGAUGUUCGGCUCCCAUGUGCCAUACAGACAGAGCCAGUGGAGGCUAAUUCCGCUGGAUGUCUACGUUGGAAAAGGCAUGAUUCUUGCAAUAUUGAUAGUAGUGACUAGAGGAAUGAAUUCAUUCCAGUUUAGGGUAGGAAUCAGACUAUUUACUGUACAAACUGGAUUCCUCUCUGUAGCAACUUAUUUCUCCCAAACCAAACGUGCAUUUAAUGGCAUAAAUUGUUCCAAAAUGUUUACGACUAUUAUAGUAAAAUACUUAUCACAAAACAGAUUUAUCUAACUACAUAUAGCAAUUUUAG
rnacentral:lncRNA from 1 species